CACACGCUGAGCCUGCAGCAGUGGCCAUGCACAUCCUGGCAAGGACAGUGUCCCUGGAGGCUGGAGUGUGAGUCUUUGUUUGUUUGAGACAGGGUUUCUCUAAGUAGCCCUGGCUGUUCUGGAAUUAGCUCCGUAGACCAGGCUGGUCUUGAUUGAAUCACAGGGAUCCACAUGCCUCUGCCUCCUGAGUGCUGGCAUUAAAGGUGUGUGCCACCACUACCCAGUGUGAGUCAUUCUUAGUAAGAAAGGAAGACUCAGAGCACUGGGGUUUAGACUGUGAGGAAGAUAAUCUAAAUAAAAACAGGAAGAGGAAUAGCCAAGAAAGUCAUUUACCCAAUGAUGAGUCAGAAAUGAGCAGAACUCUCCAGACCACAGCCAGAGCUCUUCUGGGAACAUUGAGCUGCCCCAGCAGCUGCCCUCAUGUCUACACCUGUGGUGUGUGCACCUGUAUGCACUGUGCCAGCCUAUUUCAGGGGCUCUGCCUUUGAAGAGAUCAAGGCCCGGAGGGCUUCAUGGAGAAGGUGAAGUAGGAAGCUGGACUCUGGGAGAUGCUCAAGUAGAAGAAAGUAAUGUGCAUGGCAGCUCCUAGGUGCACAAUGAAGAUAAUAAGAGUCCUUGCUUCAGAACUGUCGUGAAGAUUGCCUGAGAACACAGCUUGAGGAUACUCUAGGGCAAGUGUGGUAAGAUGGCUCAGCAGGAAAAGGUGCUUGCACUACAAGCCUGGAAAUCUGAGUUCAAUCCCUGGAACCCAGGCAUGGAUGGGCCUCUCUGGUCAGAGGUGUGAGGGAGAUCAGAGAAGGAGUGUGCUGGCUGGCUGGCAGAGUAUGGGCACCCUCUGACAUUCUCCAGCACAGCCAGCUUGGCCCAAGUAGGUCAGGGCAGUUUCCUGGCCUGUAGCCUGAGUUCCCUCCCACUCACUUGUAUUUAUGGCCAAGAUCUGCCUGGAGCCCUCUUACCUUCAAAGGCUGAGGACACUGCUUGCUCAGACUCUACUCAAGGACUCUGCAGGGCAGGGCAGGGCAGGGCAGGGCAGGGCUGGAUGGCUUCCUGAGGGUACAGCUGACUUGGAUGGCCCACAGAGAGCUCAGCCCUGGGCAAGCCAUUUUGGGCAGGGACUGCACCUGUAAGCUCCACCCUGCAGUUUCUGUCCCACCUGCCC
rnacentral:lncRNA from 1 species